AUUGAACGCUGGCGGAAUGCUUUACACAUGCAAGUCGAACGGCAGCACGGACUUCGGUCUGGUGGCGAGUGGCGAACGGGUGAGUAAUGUAUCGGAACGUGCCCAGUCGUGGGGGAUAAGGUAGUGAAAAUUACGCUAAUACCGCAUACGAUCUAUGGAUGAAAGCGGGGGAUCGCAAGACCUCGCGCGAUUGGAGCGGCCGAUAUCAGAUUAGGUAGUGGGUGGGGUAAAGGCCCACCAAGCCAACGAUCUGUAGCUGGUCUGAGAGGACGACCAGCCACACUGGAACUGAGACACGGUCCAGACUCCUACGGGAGGCAGCAGUGGGGAAUUUUGGACAAUGGGCGAAAGCCUGAUCCAGCCAUUCCGCGUGCAGGAUGAAGGCCCUCGGGUUGUAAACUGCUUUUGUACAGAACGAAAAGGUUUCUACUAAUACUAGGAGCUCAUGACGGUACUGUAAGAAUAAGCACCGGCUAACUACGUGCCAGCAGCCGCGGUAA
rnacentral:rRNA from 1 species